rnacentral:tRNA from 1 species
UAGGAAAAAUGAAAAUAAUAGAAGCUGCUAACUAUCUAUAUAAGCGGUUAAAUUCCGUUAAUUCCUUA